rnacentral:lncRNA from 1 species
GUCGCGGUAUGAGCGCCAUGAAAAUGUAAAUGUUCGUUGCUUUCACGAUGCUAAUACGUCCUCAUUACGCUUCUACAACGAUCCCGCUACGAUUAUUCAACGUUCUCGCCGCGCUUAUUCUGCGACCUCACUACGCUUAUCAAGAUCUUUCUACGCUCAUCACGUUCUCACUACGACCAUACCACGAGUUAUCCGAUUGCAACUCGAUCUUACCAC